rnacentral:rRNA from 1 species
AGAUUGAACGCUGGCGGCAGGCCUAACACAUGCAAGUCGAGCGGUAGAGAGGUGCUUGCACCUCUUGAGAGCGGCGGACGGGUGAGUAAUGCCUAGGAAUCUGCCUAGUGGUGGGGGAUAACGUUCGGAAACGGACGCUAAUACCGCAUACGUCCUACGGGAGAAAGCGGGGGACCUUCGGGCCUCGCGCCAUUAGAUGAGCCUAGGUCGGAUUAGCUAGUUGGUGAGGUAAUGGC